UUGAACGCUGGCGGCAUGCUUUACACAUGCAAGUCGAACGGUAACAGGGAGCUUGCUCCGCUGACGAGUGGCGAACGGGUGAGUAAUGCAUCGGAACGUACCCAGUCGUGGGGGAUAACGUAGCGAAAGUUACGCUAAUACCGCAUACGUCCUGAGGGAGAAAGCGGGGGACCGUAAGGCCUCGCGCGAUUGGAGCGGCCGAUGUCGGAUUAGCUAGUUGGUGGGGUAAAGGCCUACCAAGGCGACGAUCCGUAGCGGGUCUGAGAGGAUGAUCCGCCACACUGGGACUGAGACACGGCCCAGACUCCUACGGGAGGCAGCAGUGGGGAAUUUUGGACAAUGGGGGCAACCCUGAUCCAGCCAUGCCGCGUGAGUGAAGAAGGCCUUCGGGUUGUAAACUGCUUUUGUACGGAACGAAAAGGUCUGGGUUAAUACCCUGGGCUCAUGACGGUACCGUAAGAAUAAGCACCGGCUAACUACGU
rnacentral:rRNA from 1 species